GACUGAAUGUAUUUUUGAAGUGUCACUUAAUUCAUUCUCUGAUUAUGAAUAUGAACGCACUUAAAUACUGUACUGCUGUAGUUCUGGCCAUUGCAUUAGUUUUUCCCACCAGGGGUGCAGCAACCUAUAAAUGUAAUCGCAAUGGUUGUACACGACUGCCUUAUACCGAAGAAAUAAGAUUUGCAUGAUUGCAUUUUUGUGGAAUAAGCCGUAUAAAUUUAUUAAUUAUUUGUUUUGUCCUACACAACAAGAUAAAUCUUUUUAAAAUUCAAAUUCAAUUUUUGUUUGUUUGUUCCGUAUAGACUCAAAAACGGCUGAACCGAUUACGUUGAAAUUUUCACAGAUUGUGUUGGUUGGUCUGGGGUCGGGAGGGUGGUGGACCCUCCCCCUUACCCCAAAAGUACUACCCAAAAAUAAAAGUGGACCGAUCGGGACAAUAUGGGAUUCAAAUGAAAUGUAUUCAAGAGUAGAGUACGAAUUUCAUAAUAAAAGUUGGGUCCAAGUAUCUGGGGGGCCGCCCCAGCCCCAAAACCCCUUAAAAUAGGUUUAUUUGACGAUCAUGACAAUAUGGGACUCAAAUGAAAGGUAUUCGGGAGUAGAUUACGAAUAUGGUCAGGAAGUAGGAAUAGGCUUUAAAAUUUAUUGAUAUCGGAAAGAGGAGGACCCUCCACCGUUACCACAAAAACAAGACCAAAAGUCAAAAGUGAACCGAUAAGGACGAUAUGGGUCAAAUGAAAAGUUUGCGGGAGUUGAUAACGAAUCUGGCAUACAAAUUCAUGUCGAAGUAUAGGGGGUCACCCCACCCCCCACAAAAACGCCCAAAAUGAGCACAUUAGCCAAUCACGGAUAUAUGGGAUUCGGUUUGUUUGUUCUGUAUAGACUGAAAAACGGCAUAACCGAUUUUCUCGAAAUUUUCGCAUAUUGUGUAGGUUGGUCUGGAAGGAAACAAAGGCUUUAUAAUUUUUCGGAAUCGGAAGGGGGACGAACCCUCCCCCUUAUGCCAAAAACACAAUCCAAAAUCAAAAGUGGACCGGUCGGGACAAUAUAGGUAUCGAAUGAAAGGUAUUGGAGAGUACAAUACGAAUAGGAUAUUAAAAUUGAGUUUAAGUACAUAUCGGACCGCCUCAACCCCAAAACUCCCCCAAAACAUUAGGUCCAAGUAAUGGGAGGUCGCCCACCUCCAAAUACCCCUUAUUUGGGAAUAAAGAACGAAUUUGAUGUCUAAUUUCAGUGCAACGUGGCCGCCCCAACUCCAAAACACCCUCCAAACGGUUCAUAUUCACCGACCAUGGAAAUAUGGGGCUCAAAUUAAAGGGAUUUGGAAGUGCAGCACGAAGUUGAUACUCAUAUUUGAGUCGAAAUGUCUGAGGUGCCAUCCCUCCCUUAAUGAGAACAUUAUCACCAGGAACCGAGAAGGGACAAAUUCUCACACAACAAUGACCGAGUCCGAAUGGCGUCUCGCAGUGCGACACCUCUUUGGGGAAAAUUUUUUAAAUUACCUUGCAUGGCAUUGUGCCUCGCAAAUGUCGCCAACAUUAAGAGGGGAUAAACACCGCUUUGUCCGAUGUUCUCGCCAGGAUUCCAACGCGUUCAGCGUCAAAGGCUGCAAUGGCAUGAAUUCGAUAUCCGCAUUCAGGGCGAAGUGUCCCCAUCCUAAAAAGAUAUUAUUAUUAAAAAUACUAGGCAUCUCAUAUUCAAUAGCGUGUUGAAUAAUACAUAACAGAUAAUACCAUUAAA